rnacentral:rRNA from 1 species
UACGGGGGGAGCAAGCGUUGUUCGGAUUUACUGGGCGUAAAGGGCGCGUAGGCGGUCAGCACAAGUCAGUUGUGAAAUCUCCGGGCUUAACUCGGAAAGGUCAACUGAUACUGUGCGGCUAGAGUGCAGAAGGGGCAACUGGAAUUCUCGGUGUAGCGGUGAAAUGCGUAGAUAUCGAGAGGAACACCUGCGGCGAAGGCGGGUUGCUGGGCUGACACUGACGCUGAUGCGCGAAAGCCAGGGGAGCGAAGCGGG